rnacentral:rRNA from 1 species
UACGUAGGGUGCGAGCGUUGUCCGGAAUUAUUGGGCGUAAAGAGCUCGUAGGCGGUCUGUCGCGUCGGAUGUGAAAACUCGGGGCUCAACCCCGAGCCUGCAUUCGAUACGGGCAGACUAGAGUUCGGUAGGGGAGACUGGAAUUCCUGGUGUAGCGGUGAAAUGCGCAGAUAUCAGGAGGAACACCGGUGGCGAAGGCGGGUCUCUGGGCCGAUACUGACACUGAGGAGCGAAAGCGUGGGGAGCAAACAGG